AGUGAACGCUGGCGGUAGGCCUAACACAUGCAAGUCGAACGGCAGCACAGGAGAGCUUGCUCUCUAGGUGGCGAGUGGCGGAAGGGUGAGGAAUACAACGGAAUCUGCACAGUCGUGUGGGAUAACGUAGGGAAACUUAAGCUAAUACCGCAUACGCCCUUCGGGUGAAAGUGGGGGAUCGCAAGACCUCUCGCGAUUGGAUGCGCCGCUGUCGGAUUAGCUAGUUAGCGGGGUAAUGGCCCACCCAGGCGACGAUACGUAGCUGGUCUGAGAGGAUGAUCAGCCACACUGGAACUUAGACACGGUCCAUACUCCUACGGGAGGCAGCAGUGUGGAAUAGUGGACAAUGGGCGCAAGCCUUACCCAGUCAGACCGCGUGUGUUAAGAAGGCCCUCGGGUUGUAAAGCCCGUUUGCUGGGAAAGAAAUCUUUCAGGCAAAGACCCUGGGAGGAUGACGGUACCCAAAGAAUAAGCACCGGCUAACUUCGUG
rnacentral:rRNA from 1 species